CACAUGUUCGGUUGGGUUCUUUCACAUGAUGCGUGUUCUUCUGUUAUAUUAGCGUUUGGCAUAACAGCUUGUUGCAUGACUGCCCCCAACUGUUGGGCGUAGCCUGGAGCAUCAGGUGUUUAAAAACAUGGAAGCCACGAUAACAAAGAUUUGAUGCUGUUUUCUUAUGCGAGCA